UGAUAACUGACCAUGAUUUUAGUCCUGUCUGAAUGUGCUACGUCAGUAAUCAUUACCGCACAAUGUCAGUAAAGAUUACUGCGACUUUUAUCUUCUGUAAAAGGGUCCAGGAAAAUGAGCCCUGGUAAUACCAAUCCC